AGCAUAUUAUGCAGUUAUAUUUAUUAUAGGGCUAUUGAACUAGUUGGUAUGGUGAAUUUUAAGAUGUCUUUAUUAACUAGUUGAUUCAUUACAGACAAUUGGUUUUCUUUGGUCAUUCCCGUAUCAUUGAUACUAGUGUCUCUCUCUCUUUUCAGUUUGACAAACCACAAGGAUGAUGGAAAGGCUGAAGAGGCCAUUGUUAUGACCAUGUUGGAUUUCGUUAUGACAGUUGGAAUAAAGUUACUAAGGACUUAUUACUACAUUUGGAUCUUGUGAUGUCGCAGUAGUCAAGAGGAAAUGGUUGGCUACGCUGGGACUUAUAUAUCCUCUGUUUUACUCUGAU